rnacentral:tRNA from 1 species
GGCUCCAUAGUGUAGUGGUUAGCAUGUCUGCUUUGCAUGCAGAAAGUCCCUGGAGCUG